GACCAGACUCCUACGGGAGGCAGCAGUGGGGAAUAUUGGGCAAUGGGCGCAAGCCUGACCCAGCAACGCCGCGUGAAGGAAGAAGGCUUUCGGGUUGUAAACUUCUUUUCUCAGGGACGAAGCAAGACGGUACCUGACUAAGAAGCCCCGGCUAACUACGUGCCAGCAGCCGCGGUAAUACGUAGGGGGCAAGCGUUAUCCGGAUUCACUGGGUGUAAAGGGAGCGUAGACGGCGGCGCAAGUCUGGAGUGAAAGCCCGGGGCCCAACCCCGGGACUGCUCUGGAAACUGCGGCGCUGGAGUACGGGAGGGGCAGGCGGAAUUCCUGGUGUAGCGGUGAAAUGCGUAGAUAUCAGGAGGAACACCGGCGGCGAAGGCGGCCUGCUGGACCGUGACUGACGUUGAGGCUCGAGAGCGUGGGGAGCAAACAGGAUUAGAUACCCUCGUA
rnacentral:rRNA from 1 species